rnacentral:rRNA from 1 species
UACGUAGGGGGCUAGCGUUGUCCGGAAUCAUUGGGCGUAAAGCGCGCGUAGGCGGCCUGGUAAGUCCGCUGUGAAAGUCAAAGGCUCAACCUUUGAAUGUCAGCGGAUACUGCCAGGCUAGAGUCCGGAAGAGGCGAGUGGAAUUCCUGGUGUAGCGGUGGAAUGCGCAGAUAUCAGGAGGAACACCACUAGCGAAGGCAGCUCGCUGGGACGGUAUUGACGCUAAGGCGCGAAAGCGUGGGGAGCAAACAGG